UUAAUUGAAGCCAAAAAAGAGGCAUAUUAUUGUUAAUAAUAUUAAUGAAAAAAUUUUUCCAAUUAAA
rnacentral:tRNA from 1 species